AAUCAAGAUAAGGAUAAGGAUGAAAUCAAGUUCUAGAGAAUUCAAAGGAUAAGGAUGAGAAUAAAAAAUUAUUUCAGGAAGGACUAAACUGCAAACAGAUUUAACUCUGAAGGACCAAAGUUAAUAACCGACCUAUUCUAUAGGGACCUAACUGUGACAUCAGAAAUAGUUUUAAUUCAAAUUCAGGUCCCUGGUUUUGUCUAUAAAUACCACCACGAAGUUCAAGUUCAAACCGGCUCAAAUUAGAGCAACCCAAGCCUCCAAAUCCUUGCUAAACCUUCCCCUCAGCCUCCUAAAGCCUUCCUUAACCUCUUCUCCGCCCAACAACCACCACAAAACACCCAACCGAGCUCAAGAAAUUCCAAAACUUUGAGCUCUCGGUUCUCCCUCAAAUCUCCAUCAAUUUUGUCAAACCAAGAGUCUAUUUUGCUUAUAAUUUCACCAGCAAGCUAUUCGUGCAAGAAUUUUGAAGUUUGGAGGUCUAGAUUUCAUUCUGCCAUUGUUGGCCGGAAAAGCUUCAUGGAGCUCAUCGUUUUGGCCAAACCAGAGACCUUCUCAGCUAUCCACCUAUACCAUUGAGUUCCUGGGAGUGAGAGGAAGCUUUUCCAACUGGUUUCCACCCUUAACUCCACCCUCCCGCCGGAGCUCCGCCGCCAACCACCACCUUCUCCGGCGAGCUCACCGGAAAAACUGUUCAGAACUUGGAUUUUCUUGCAUAGUUCAAAUCCUUGUCUUCCAUAGGUUCCAUAUACAUAUUCGGUUCGGAAAAUUAACUUGGUUUGAUAGGGUUUCAAGAGACGAGAAGAUAAUUAUUAAUUGGAGGAUUUUUCCGAAGAAAGGUAAGGGGGGGAGAAUGCUCAACUCAUGAGGGAGUAUAGUGUGAAUAAAUAGGUGUUGGACCUCCCUUGGGUCCCUAAUUGUUUUUAAAAAAUGAUUAUUUCAAACGGGAUUUAUUCUUGAGAAUUGAUUCGAAGAAGGAGCCUCCGAAUCUUUUCCUAAACAUUUUUUUGAGGCAUCCCGAUUUUUAAAAGAAAAUAUUAAUUGAACAAUUCUCAGAAUAUUUCCAGAAGAUUUUUUUUAAUGGCUUGCAGAUACUCUAUGAGCAGGAAAGGUCAGUGGCCCCAACUGGACAGUCAAGGCCAGGCUGUGCCAUUGGGUAACGCUGUGAGAUCUAGGGGAUACCGUAAGGGUUGCGGUCCUUGGGGUGUGGUUAGGUGGGACCUACCAACAGGUGAUGAUGAGGUUUGUCCCAUCCGGAACCUAAUUCACACUGCAGGCCCUCCGAGGAUCAUCCAGCCGAGCGGCUUCUCGGUGACUUUCCUGGAGAAUGUUGGGCCCACAUCCUCGUCUAGAGACCGAAACUAUUUCUAAUUAGAUUUUUUAAUGAUUUAUUUGAUUAUGCUAUUACUUUUCACUUGAUUUACUUGCUUAUUUAUUUUACACUAUUCCUCUUGCUUGAGUGUGUUGGAUUGCUUCUCUCCCCUCUUGUUUUGGUUGGUUGUUCUAAUUGAAUAACUUAGGGACGGAGACCGAGGAGAAAGAACUAGAAUGAAAAAGUGACCAAGGCAGGAAGAGCUGUAAAUAGUUGUGAAUAUACGAGAGUGUUCGAGUAGAAUAAAGACCAGCCGAUGGAAGAAGACGUGUGCGACUGAACUCGUACUCUAUUAGACUGUAAAAUAAGUAUGAAAGCAGUGGGGUUUUGUAAUUAAGUUUGUUAAAGUAAUCGGGAAAGAUUCAAGGGAGUCCAUGCGAUACUCUGGGAUGUCUUGUCUAAGGAAAGGAAUCGCUUUCGCUUUUAAUGACGCUUAGCGCGGCUAACUUUCCUGGAGCCGUUCUCAGACUAUCAAUUUGACAACGAUGAAUUCUGACCCAAAGGUCUUGUAUUUUUUUCAAGGUUCAUCAAUAAAAGUGCUGUUUUUCUGAAGGUA